GGUUGGUUGAGGAAUCACCAGGGCAAGUCGAUGUUGCUUGUGGACUGAGUGCAGGAACCUUUUGAACUAACGCACGAGGAAGGAACAACAAAGGCUGUGGUGUCAACAUGAUCUUUUAAUUUUUUUCUGCAGCAAAUCAGUAAAUGCUUAUUCUUUUUGCCUAUGGCUGUCUUACAAAUCAACUAAUAAAAAAUAAUGCUAAGCAAAAUAA